AAAAGGCGCAUAAAAUAAUGGGCUUCUUCGCGAUUUAUCCGUUUUAUCAAAUCAGCCCCUUUGCGGACUUUUCGCGAUUCCCGAAGAUCCGUCCGUCGGAUUUCCGAUCGGAUCACACCAGGGCGAUCAGCACGACAGAGGCAUCGAAUCUAGCAUUUCGUUUCGCCCGAAAAGAUCUCCGAUUUGUGACAAAACCCACCCUCAUUGGUUCCACCAAAA
rnacentral:lncRNA from 1 species